AGGUUUCAGUAGGUGAACCUGCGGAAGGAUCAUU
rnacentral:rRNA from 1 species